UCUGUGGCCAUGAACAGAACGAGAGGAGAUGUAGCCUACACCAACACACACCACAGAGGGAGAGACCAAGUAACUGUACUGGAGAGUGCUGCUGUGCUGUCUACCAAACAUGAGAAAGAGAGAGAGAGGCAGAAUAUCAAACAGGAAGUACCCGUGCUAAGGAAUAUUCAAUGGACACCGACGUCUUGCUUCCAGACAAGCUAAAUAGCUUCUUCGCCCACUUUGAGGAUAAGUGCCACCUACGCAGCUCGCUACCAAGAACUGUGGGCUCGCCUUCUCCGUAGCCAACUCUGCUAUCCCCAAUUGCUUCAAGAUGUCCACCAUUGUUCCUGUACCCAAGAAAGCAAAGGUAACUGAACUAAAUGACUAUCGCCCCCGUAGCACUCACUUUGGUCAACAUGAAGUGCUUUGAGAGGCUAUUUAAGGAUCAUAUCACCUCUAUCUUACCUGACACCCUAGACCCACAUCAAUUUGCUUACCGCCCCAAUAGAUCCACAGGCAAUGCACACUGCCCUAU